GACCAUAUAAAUUCAUCAUUUCCUAGCUUUUGCAAGGGGGGGAAAGAACAAGGGGAAACGGGAAGAAACAAAGAAAAGAAAAAAAAACACGCAAGAAAGAAUAAGAAGGAGAAGGAGCACGCCAUUUCUGCUGGAGAGCUGCUACCAAGUGAUGUCCACCUGCAGUUUUUCAGAGUUUUGGGCUCUCCUUCCCCUGGGUUUUUCUAUUUCUUAGUCUAUUUUUAUGUUUCUUUUGCUAGUUUUAUCAUUUCCUCUUGUAAAUUUUAUCAUGAUAGAAUAGUUUUUCUAAGAUUUCAGAGUUGGGUUGCACUAUUUUGAAUCUAUUUGUGGAUUUGGAUUGGGUUUUAUCUAGAUUUAUAUAAAUAUGAGUUUUAAUUCUUUUCCUUGUGUGCUUUAUGACUUACCUAAUGUUGGAUCCCAUUGGGUCUAGUUUUUAAUCUUUGAUUGAAUGACUGAAAUGUGAAAAUCAUUGAUAGAUAAUCA
rnacentral:misc_RNA from 1 species